rnacentral:lncRNA from 1 species
CGGAAAGUAAAUAAAAGUAGUCUGAGUGCGGAAAGUAAAUAAAAGUAGUGCGAGUGCGGAAAAUAAAUAAAGUAGUGCGAGUGCGAGAAAUAAAUGAAAGUAGUGCGAGUGCGAGAAAUAAAUAAAGUAAAGUGCGAGUGCGGGAAAUAAAUAGAGUAAAAUGCGAGUGUGGGAAAAUAAAAUAGAUAAAGGUAAAUCAAUAAAAACCUGCUCCAAUCGGAGGGUUGAAUAAAAU